rnacentral:rRNA from 1 species
GUGGGGAAUAUUGCACAAUGGGCGCAAGCCUGAUGCAGCGACGCCGCGUGCGGGAUGACGGCCUUCGGGUUGUAAACCGCUUUUGAUCGGGAGCAAGCCUUCGGGUGAGUGUACCUUUCGAAUAAGCACCGGCUAACUACGUGCCAGCAGCCGCGGUAAUACGUAGGGUGCAAGCGUUAUCCGGCAUUAUUGGGCGUAAAGGGCUCGUAGGCGGUUCGUCGCGUCCGGUGUGAAAGUCCAUCGCUUAACGGUGGAUCUGCGCCGGGUACGGGCGGGCUGGAGUGCGGUAGGGGAGACUGGAAUUCCCGGUGUAACGGUGGAAUGUGUAGAUAUCGGGAAGAACACCAAUGGCGAAGGCAGGUCUCUGGGCCGUUACUGACGCUGAGGAGCGAAAGCGUGGGGAGCGAACAGGAUUAGAAACCCUAGUAGUCC